rnacentral:misc_RNA from 1 species
UACGGAGGGGGCUAGCGUUGUUCGGAAUCACUGGGCGUAAAGCGCACGUAGGCGGUCCGCGUAGUCAGGCGUGAAAGCCCCGGGCUCAACCUGGGAACUGCGCUUGAUACUGGCGGGCUAGAGUCCGGGAGAGGGUAGUGGAAUUCCCAGUGUAGAGGUGAAAUUCGUAGAUAUUGGGAAGAACACCAGUGGCGAAGGCGGCUACCUGGACCGGCACUGACGCUGAGGUGCGAAAGCGUGGGGAGCAAACAGG